rnacentral:tRNA from 1 species
ACCUGGGUGGCUCAGUCAGCUAAGCAUCUGACUUUGGCUCAGGUCAUAAUCUCACCAUUUGUGGGUUCGAGCCCCACAUCAGGCU